GAACUCUUAUCUCGUACUCAUCCUUUGAUCUUAGCGAUACAGAGAAGAUUAGCAUGGCCCCUGCGAAAGGAUGACACGCAAAUUCGUGAAGCGUAUCCACAUUUU